UACGGAGGGAGCAAGCGUUAAUCGGAAUUACUGGGCGUAAAGCGUGCGUAGGUGGUUUGCUAAGUCAGGUGUGAAAUCCCCAGGCUCAACCUGGGAACUGCAUUUGAUACUGGCAGGCUAGAGUGUGGUAGAGGAUGGUGGAAUUCCCGGUGUAGCGGUGAAAUGCGUAGAUAUCGGGAGGAACAUCAGUGGCGAAGGCGGCCAUCUGGACUAACACUGACACUGAGGCACGAAAGCGUGGGGAGCAAACAGG
rnacentral:rRNA from 1 species